CUUGAUCCCUGCAUACCUUCUUAUUCGCCUUGUAUCUGACGAUUUGCCGCUCCGCUUGCACCGGCCGCCCCCUAUCUCGACCAACGACUCGCUAUCGGAGUCUGACUCGGUUUCGAGAGCCUGGUUCCCUGAGAUUGUUUCCCUCGGGCUAGCUGCGACCAAAACAAUGCGGCAGCAGGGCAGUUUUGGAAGACAAGAAUAUAAAUCUUCGGAAUUUUGGAGCAGACGAAAACAUCCGCACACGGAUCAGCAGGCUCAAGGCGCAUACCGGAGACGGCGGGCGUUUGCGACUGGGUUGGCGUCGGGACGGCGUGAUGCUGCGGUGCACGGAGGCCGUCGGACCACCACACGUGGCCGGCGUUGCUCUCUUGCAGCUCCAGGGCGUUCUGCUAGAGCGCAGUAGACAAAUUCAGUUAAACGCACGAACACUACAGGCACAGAAGCAGAGGCUGUGCUAAUAAGAGAGGCUUCAGGUAGUGGCAGCUGCUCACCGAGUCGCCGAAGCAGAGGCCCGGCAGGCCACCGCCGGGGGAGAAGACGCCGUCGCCCCGGCCGUGCUCGCCGUACCUGCUGUCGUCCGGUCCUUGGCCGGGCCUGCCCCGCUGGGCCUCGGCCUCAGCGGCGGCGAGGUGCUGCCGAAUGAAGGCCUCGAACUCCAGCUCCGACGCGCACUUCUUCAUCUCCGCCGGCCGCCUGCCUCUCCGUCUGCUCGUCACGGUGGUGGUGUUUUCGUCAGUCUGUGCGUCUGUCUGUCUGUCUUUCUUGGCGAGGCCUCCGUUGCGGGGGGUGACAGCGUCGCCGGCGACGGCUUUUAUGGUGCACGGGAAGGGGACGUGGAAAGCUCCGUUGGGGGAGAUGAAUAUGAUAGCGGCUGGCUGAAUGGACAGUGACGCGGGCUGACUCGGAUCCUCGUAAGGCCGAGAGGGAGGCAGCGUGCAAGGCUGGGUAGGGGCGUGCUUGCGUGGCCGUCGGCGACUUUUCAUUGGGUUCAGGACUUCAGAUCUGCUCAAAGUGUACUUAAACAACUUAUAAAUAAUAAUAACCAAAGAAAUUGGGUGAA